rnacentral:rRNA from 1 species
UACGUAGGGUGCAAGCGUUUGUCCGGAAUUAUUGGGCGUAAAGAGCUCGUAGGCGGUUUGUCGCGUCUGCUGUGAAAACCUAAGGCUCAACCUUGGGCUUGCAGUGGGUACGGGCAGACUAGAGUGCGGUAGGGGUGACUGGAAUUCCUGGUGUAGCGGUGGAAUGCGCAGAUAUCAGGAGGAACACCGAUGGCGAAGGCAGGUCACUGGGCCGCAACUGACGCUGGAGGAGCGGAAAAGCCAUGGGGGAGCGAACAGG